rnacentral:rRNA from 1 species
UAGGGAAUCUUCGGCAAUGGGGGGAACCCUGACCGAGCAACGCCGCGUGAGUGAAGAAGGUUUUCGGAUCGUAAAGCUCUGUUGUUAAGGAAGAACGAGUGUGAGAAUGGAAAGUUCAUGCUGUGACGGUACUUAACCAGAAAGGGACGGCUAACUACGUGCCAGCAGCCGCGGUAAUACGUAGGUCCCGAGCGUUGUCCGGAUUUAUUGGGCGUAAAGCGAGCGCAGGCGGUUAGAUAAGUCUGAAGUUAAAGGCAGUGGCUCAACCAUUGUAGGCUUUGGAAACUGUUUAACUUGAGUGCAGAAGGGGAGAGUGGAAUUCCAUGUGUAGCGGUGAAAUGCGUAGAUAUAUGGAGGAACACCGGUGGCGAAGGCGACUCUCUGGUCUGUAACUGACGCUGAGGUUCGAAAGCGUGGGGAGCGAACAGG